rnacentral:misc_RNA from 1 species
GUGAGAUUGUAGCAGCAUACAAUGUAGAAAGAGGGUGAGAGAAGAACACAUAGAAAGCUUUAGCUUUGGGGUGGGUUUUCUCAUUAAGAACAAUGGUGUGAUACAGAGUAUUUGUGUAUUAGCAACAACAAAAGCUUUCUCUCUUUAACAAGUCCGUUUUGCAUCAAACUACUUCAGUCUUGGUUGUCACAGGUUCAAGCUCUUAAAGUUACAGUCUUUUGAGCCUCUGAAUUCUCUACAGUAAUUGUGAUUUUAAACGUCACCUUUGGCGUUGUUACAGUUGCUUCGAGUGAAAAAUGUCAUUUCUUAUAUGAUAUCUUUGGACUGUGGAAAUUUUGAGAUUAUAUUAAAGAAUGCGUAGACAUGAACUGUAUGACAAAUGAUAUCUUCUAUUAACAAUAGACUUUUUUGUUCUUAUUUUCUUGCAUUUAUUUUGAAUGUAAGCCUUCUUCUUGGCAUGAUACAAUGCUCCUUCACGGUUUUUAAAGUCACCUUCUUAACCGUG